ACCCAUAAGUGUUUGGUAAGCCAACUUCUUAUCAGCUUUCUCCAGAAGCUGCUGUGGCUUCUGCCCAAAAGCAGAAGCAGCCGAACCCCAGCUUUUAAAAGCCAGAAGCCAGGAAAUCACUGUGGCGGUGUUACUGUAGAUUAAUGAAAUUUUCAAAAUACCGGUGUCUAUCCUCCAUUGUUUGAGGCAAUUACUAUUGCCAUGAAACCCUUCUUGAUAGAUGAUGCCGCAACAAUCUCUCUCCCUCUCAUCACAGACGCCGCAUCAAUCUCUGAUCACAGACGCCCCAUCAAUCUCUCUCCCUCUGACACCGCCUCAUCUAGCCUUUCAUCAGGAUUUUGGGUUGGAAAUCAAAGCCUCACUCAAGCAAGGCUUCUUGGAAAUUUGAUUCAGCCUUUGCACUUCCUUUUCGUUCGGCUCUCCUUUUCAGCCUUUGCACUUCCAAAAGGCUGCAAGCUGAUGCAAAUCUCUUAGAACCCAUUAGUUUUCUCAAGGAUUUGGCUUUAAAGGAGACUAUUUUCACAGUUGGAGUUCGAGUUGCAGACUUGGAGUUCGAUUUGCAGCAAAAGAUUUGAAGGUUAUGAGGAAAAGAUUUAUAUAGCCUCAUCAUAUAGCCUCCUCCACGCAAAAGAAGAAGCUCAGUGUGUGUUAUACGACAAAAGUGAAGAAAAAGAAGGUUAUGGGUCAAGUGGUGGGAUAGAAAUGGAUGAUGAUGUAGAAGAAGAAUAUCAUGGUCAUGGUGCACAAGAAAUGGAAACAAUAAGAAAUAGCAUUACUCAAAGUUUGAUGAAUGCGCGUAAUAACGUGAACAUUUGAAUAUGUUAUGAUAUUUGAUGCGAGCUGGAUAUUUAAUUGUUAUUAAUGUUACUAAUAUAUUUGUAUAA